rnacentral:rRNA from 1 species
AUUGAACGCUGGCGGCAGGCCUAACACAUGCAAGUCGAACGAGUGGCGGACGGGUGAGUAAUGUCUGGGAAACUGCCUGAUGGCGGGGGAUAACUACUGGAAACGGUAGAUAAUACCGCAUACCAUCAGAUGUGCCCAGAUGGGAUUAGCUGGUGGGGGGGGUAACGGCUCACCAAGGCGACGAUCCGUAGCUGGUCAGAGAGGAUGACCAUGCACACGGUAACGGAUACGCGGUCCAGACUCUGACGGUAGGCAGCAGUGGGGAAUAUUGCACAGUGGGCGCAAGCCUGAGGCAGCCAUGCCGCUUGUAUGAAGAAGGCCUUCGGGUUGUAAAGUACUUUCAGCGGGGAGGCGUUACCCGCAGAAGAAGCACCGGCUAACUCCGUGCCAGCAGCCGCGGUAAUAC